rnacentral:rRNA from 1 species
AUGAACGCUGGCGGCGUGCCUAACACAUGCAAGUCGAGCGGCAGCGAGGGGUGCUUGCACCCUGUCGGCGAGCGGCGGACGGCUGAGUAACGCGUGGGAACGUGCCCCAAAGUGAGGAAUAACUGCCCGAAAGGGUAGCUAAUACCGCAUAUUAUCUUCGGAUCAAAGGAUUUAUCCGCUUUGGGAGCGGCUCGCGUCGGAUUAGGUAGUUGGUGAGGUAAUGGCUCACCAAGCCGACGAUCCGUAGCUGGUCUGAGGGGAUGACCAGCCAGACUGGAACUGAGACACGGUCCAGACUCCUACGGGAGGCAGCAGUGAGGAAUCUUCCACAAUGGGCGAAAGCCUGAUGGAGCAACGCCGCGUGCAGGACGAAGGCCUUCGGGUUGUAAACUGCUUUUAUAAGUGAGGAAUAUGACGGUAACUUAUGAAUAAGGAUCGGCUAACUACGUG